rnacentral:rRNA from 1 species
CCUACGGGAGGCAGCAGUGAGGAAUAUUGGUCAAUGGCCGGAAGGCUGAACCAGCCAUGCCGCGUGAAGGUCAGUGCCCUAUGGGCGUUAAACUUCUUUUGUGCGGGAGCAAUAAUGGUCACGUGUGGCCAGACGAGAGUACCGUACGAAUAAGCAUCGGCUAACUCCGUGCCAGCAGCCGCGGUAAUACGGGGGAUGCAAGCGUUAUCCGGAUUUAUUGGGUUUAAAGGGUGCGUAGGCUGUGAGGUAAGUCAGCGGUGAAAUGCCCCCGCUCAACGGGGUGAAGUGCCAUUGAUACUGCCUGGCUGGAAUGCGGAUGCCGUGGGAGGAAUGUGUGGUGUAGCGGUGAAAUGCAUAGAUAUCACACAGAACACCGAUUGCGAAGGCAUCUCACGAAGCCGCGAUUGACGCUGAUGCACGAAAGCGUGGGUAUCAAACAGGAUUAGAUACCCCAGAAGUC